GGACUACCGGGGUAUCUAAUCCUGUUCGCUCCCCACGCUUUCGCUCCUCAGUGUCAGGUAAGGCCCAGAGAACCGCCUUCGCCACCGGUGUUCCUCCCGAUAUCUGCGCAUUUCACCGCUACACCGGGAAUUCCAUUCUCCCCUACCUACCUCUAGUCUGCCCGUAUCCACUGCAAGCCCAAGGUUAAGCCUUGGGUUUUCACAGCGGACGCAGCAGACCACCUACGAGCUCUUUACGCCCAAUAAUUCCGGACAACGCUUGCGCCCUACGUGUUACCGCGGCGGCUGGCAC
rnacentral:rRNA from 1 species